GAUGAACGCUGGCGGCGUGCUUAAUACAUGCAAGUCGAACGAGUGGCGAACGGGUGAGUAACACGUGGGUGAACUGUCUUGUAUUUCGGGAUAAGCCUGGGGAACUGGGUCUAUUAUCGGACAGUACGAGAUGAGCUCGGGGCGUCUAAGCUUGUUGGUGGGGGAAUGGCUACCAAGGCGCGACGGGUAGCCGGCCUGAGAGGGUGUACGGCCACAUUGGGACUGAGACACGGCCCAGCAUGCUACGGGAGGAAGCAGUGGGGAAUAUUGCACAAUGGGCGGAAGCCUGAUGCAGCGACGCCGCGUGAGGGAUGACGGCCUUCGGUUUGUAAACCUCUUUCGCUAGGGAAGCGGUACCUGGAUAAGAAGCACCGGCUAACUACGUGCCAGCCGCCGCGGUAAUAC
rnacentral:rRNA from 1 species